rnacentral:lncRNA from 1 species
UCUGCAUUGCAAGAGACAAAGGAUAACAGAGGGGGAGAUGAGUAGAGGCCGGGGCUCCUGGCGACUGAGGCUACGAAACGGUGGGAAGCCGCCCCUCCUGGGAUGACGGAGAAAACCGAACAGGCUACUCAGGGGCGACCUGCGCCGCAGGGGACGGGGCCACCAGAGCCAUCAACCUGUUUGAUGCCUCUCUGUCGUUGUUGGGUACAUGCAUGAAGAGGGGAACUCGGACGGAGGAAAGGACAGGUCCAGCCUGAAGCCGGCCACCUGGGCCUGGAAGCCGCCAUGGUCAACAGGACCGAGCCAACACGGCAAUAAGGCCCCAAGGCCAAUCACAGGCGCCACCAAGGGCAAGAGCUCGCGCGCGUUACAAAGAAACCUCCCUCCAGGGUACAACUUGGUCCGACAUCUUCUAGCGGUGGAAGGUCUGGAAGAGACCGGAUGUGCAACUUAGCAUAACAAGUCUUGUCAAAGAUUGGGCCAAAGCAUACUCCGUUCCAACCCAAUAAUGUUUGUCGGACUUGUGGGCCCCUGCAACAACAACGACCGCGAACUGCACGGAGGGGCCACUGAGCGAGCUUAGAAAAAAGGAGGGGNNNNNNNNNNNNNNNNNNNNNNNNNNNNNNNNNNNNNNNNNNNNNNNNNNGAGUGCCACAUCAGAGGGAACCCUUGCAGGACCCAGCUCAGCACGAGCUGGUUCACCACUGUCGCCUUCCAGACCGCGGCACAGGCUCUCAAGCGCCCCCGCAUCUUAGGCCUAUCCUUGCUACNCAUGCUAGGAGGUGUGGCUUCACAAGGCGGAUCAACAGGCAAAGGUGCUGGGUUCUCACCUUCUGGGACCGCUUGUUCACUCCUCGAAGGGGCUCCUGGGUCUGGAUGUGGUUCCUGGGCUUGGCGGGCGACCUUGGUCCGGGGCCGGGUGGGCUCUGCAGGGCCGGGUGCGGGACGCUUGGCGGUGUUCUUGGUCUCCACUUGUGUGUUGUCUCGUUGGGCAGGGGGGGGCUGCGCGGGGCGAGGGGCUCUAAAACCCGCGGCGACGAACAGUGCGCCCAGUACUGUGGCGGCCAAAUUCUCUGCAUUGCAAGAGACAAAGGAUAACAGAGGGGGAGAUGAGUAGAGGCCGGGGCUCAUGGCGACUGAGGCUACGAAACGGUGGGAAGCCGCCCCUCCUGGGAUGACGGAGAAAACCGAACAGGCUACUCAGGGGCGACCUGCGCCGCAGGGGACGGGGCCACCAGAGCCAUCAACCUGUUUGAUGCCUCUCUGUCGUUGUUGGGUACAUGCAUGAAGAGGGGAACUCGGACGGAGGAAAGGACAGGUCCAGCCUGAAGCCGGCCACCUGGGCCUGGAAGCCGCCAU